rnacentral:tRNA from 1 species
GCGGAUGUAGUUUAGUGGUAAAAUAUCAGCUUCCCAAGCUGAGGUUGGGAGUUCGAUUCUCCUCAUCCGCUCCA